rnacentral:rRNA from 1 species
CGCGUAGGCGGGUGUUUAAGUCAGAGGUCAAAUCCCAGGGCUCAACCCUGGAACUGCCUUUGAUACUGGACACCUAGAGUGCGGGAGAGGUGAGUGGAACUCCGAGUGUAGAGGUGAAAUUCGUAGAUAUUCGGAAGAACACCAGUGGCGAAGGCGACUCACUGGCCCGUUACUGACGCUGAGGCGCGAAAGCGUGGGGAGCAAACAGGAUUAGAUACCCUGGUAGUCCACGCCGUAAACGAUGAGUGCUAGUUGUCGGCAAGCAUGCUUGUCGGUGACGCAGCUAACGCAUUAAGCACUCCGCCUGGGGAGUACGGUCGCAAGAUUAA